rnacentral:misc_RNA from 1 species
GUGAAUCAUCGAAUCUUUGAACGCACCUUGCGCUCCUUGGUAUUCCGAGGAGCAUGUCUGUUUGAGUGUCAUGAACUCUUCAACCCAUCAGUUUCUUAUGAACUGGCUGGUGUUUGGUUUCUGAGCGCUGCUGGUCCACGGAUCGAGCUCGUUCGUAAUGCAUUAGCAUCUCUAAUUCGACUUCGGAUUGACUCAGUGUAAUAGACUAUUCGCUGAGGACACGCCUCACGGUGUGGCCGAAUGAGAUCUCAGUAGAAGCUGCCAACCCUUCUAGUCAAUUUAAGAUUAGACCUCAGAUCA